UACGUAGGGUCCAAGCGUUAUCCGGAAUCACUGGGCGUAAAGCGUGCGUAGGUGGAUAGUUAAGUGCAACAUUAAAUCCCGUGGCUCAACCAUGUGGCUGUGUUGCAUACUGGCUGUCUAGAGGACAUGAGAGGCAAGUGGAAUUAUGUGUAGCAGUGAAUGACGUAGAUAUCAGUAGGAACACCAAUGGCGAAGGCAGCUUGCUGGCAUGUAUCUGACGCUAAGGCACGAAAGCGUGGGGAGCGAACAGG
rnacentral:rRNA from 1 species